UACGUAGGGUGCGAGCGUUAAUCGGAAUUACUGGGCGUAAAGAGCGCGCAGGCGGUCGUUCAAGUCGAGUGUGAAAGCCCCCGGCUCAACUGGGGAGGGUCACUCGAUACUGAUCGACUUGAAGGCGGGAGAGGGAAGCGGAAUUCCCGGUGUAGUGGUGAAAUGCGUAGAUAUCGGGAGGAACACCAGUGGCGAAGGCGGCUUCUGGCCCGUACCUGACGCUGAGGCGCGAAGGCUAGGGGAGCGA
rnacentral:rRNA from 1 species